AGUGGGGAAUAUUGCGCAAUGGGGGCAACCCUGACGCAGCCAUGCCGCGUGUGUGAAGAAGGCCUUCGGGUUGUAAAGCACUUUAAGUGGGGAGAAAGGCCCGUUGGUUAAUAGCCAUCGGGAUUGAUGUUACCCACAGAAUAAGCACCGGCUAACUCCGUGCCAGCAGCCGCGGUAAUACGGAGGGUGCGAGCGUUAAUCGGAAUUACUGGGCGUAAAGCGCGCGUAGGCGGUUUGUUAAGUCAGCUGUGAAAGCCCCGGGCUCAACCUGGGAACUGCAGUUGAUACUGGCCGACUGGAGUGCGAGAGAGGGAGGUAGAAUUCCAUGUGUAGCGGUGAAAUGCGUAGAUAUAUGGAGGAAUACCGGUGGCGAAGGCGGCCUCCUGGCUCGACACUGACGCUGAGGUGCGAAAGCGUGGGGAUCAAACAGGAUUAGAUACCCUGGUAGUCCACGCCGUAAACGAUGUCUACUAGCCGUUGGGAGACUUGAUUUCUUAGUGGCGCGGCUAACGCAAUAAGUAGACCGCCUGGGGAGUACGGCCGCAAGGUUAAAACUC
rnacentral:rRNA from 1 species